rnacentral:rRNA from 1 species
AAGUCGUAACAAGGUUUCCGUAGGUGAACCUGCGGAAGGAUCAUUAUUGAAUACGCUGGUCUCUGAUGCUGGCCCUUCACUGGGCAUGUGCUCGAGCCAACUAUUUAUCUUCUCUUGUGCACCUUUUGUAGUCUUUUGAAAAUAGAAGUGAGCCCUCGCAGCAAUGCGGUCUGGGGGACUGGGCCUUACCCGCUCUUCCCCUGCUUGCUUCUUCGCAGCAAUGCGGUUUGGGGGCGUCUGCGUAACCUGCUCGCGCCCCUGUGUUUCAAAAGGCUAUGUUUUAACAUACACUAUAAAGUUACAGAAUGUCUUUUAAAGGCUGCUUGCAGUCAUUAAACCUAUACAACUUUCAGCAACGGAUCUCUUGGCUCUCCCAUCGAUGAAGAACGCAGCGAAAUGCGAUAAGUAAUGUGAAUUGCAGAAUUCAGUGAAUCAUCGAAUCUUUGAACGCACCUUGCGCUCCUUGGUAUUCCGAGGAGCAUGCCUGUUUGAGUGUUAUGAAAUUCUCAACUGCCCCAGGCUUUGUGGCCUGCAGGUGAAGUUGGACUUGGAGGUAUUAUGCUGGCGCAUGAAUGGGCUUUUGCGGCCCUGCCUUGCUUGUUGGCUCCUCUUGAAUGCAUGAGCUUUCCAAUCCUUGGCAAAGUAUCGUCGAUGUGAUAAUUUGUCUACGUCGCCCGAGAAAGCCGAAAGGGGAAAUCUUUGAUCACG